GCCCCCCCCCCUCACGUCUGCCCGCGUUUGGCAGAGGUGUGCACACCCCUACACGCGCGCCUACGCACACCUCCGUGUAUUCCCUGACCUCCCCCACUCCUGCACACGCACGCCGCUUCCAUGCGGGCGGCUUGGGCGGCGACGGUGUCUCGGCGCCGGUCGCACAUUGCGUGCGGAAGCUCCUCAUCGCCGCUGUGGGCACUGCAGCCGCGGCGUGCCUCUUCCGUACAUCGUGGCCGCGUCUCACAAGCGACGUCCGGCGCGUCAUCGAAUACGUCCUCAAGCCACGCAUCGAAUCGCCGUGGGCGUCGCCCCAAGAGAGGUCAGCCGAAUGCGCGGCACAUCGCUCCGGCAGCGGAGACUCGGUUCUCCGCCAGUUCCCAUCGCAUGGGAUGCGGCCACAUCGCCGACCGUGUCAAGAGACGCCGUCAGCUCGAAGACGCCAUCCACGCCGCGCAGGCGUUCCGUAGCUGGUGUGUCAUGCAUGCACCAUGCACGCAAGCCGCGGUGGGGGCAUCCGUGUCGGCAACCGCUGCGCUGCGACCCGGUGAACUCUCCCCCUCCCAUGCACCGGUGCUGCACCGGGUUGGCGGUAGUGUCGCCACGCUUGCAGACAUCGGGUAUGAAGAAGGCGCCAACAGCCGUACCGCACGGCACCACCUCGGCUUUAGCCCACCGACGGCACCCACCACAAACCCUCCCCUCACGGCGGGUGGGGAGGUACCGCUGACGGAGCGCCGCAUGCUGGAGCACUACGCGGUCCUCCUCCACAACGUACGCGCAGCCGCCACACGGGUCGCCACGUCGGACUACCACCGCUUUUACGCCGCGGUAGUAGAAGAACUGCUGGCUGCGUCUAAGUCUGGUGGCGGCGGUGGUGCCUUCUCGGUGCCACGCUCCGUGGUGUGGCAGGAUGCUGCUGCAUCAACAUACCAUGGAGAAAGCGGAGAAGACGCUACGGCGCAGGCCGAACGUCGCCUUGCCGCGUGGGCAUCGUACUGGUACAAGGAUCUGAAGCAGUGGCACUCGCGCCACGGCACGCAUACCCCUGGUGCGGGUAACGCUGUUGACGCCCAGCAGAUGCUGCUCCACGGCGAGCUCUGGCAGGACGUGCUUGACGGUGGCGAUGGUAUUAUAGGAACACGAGAGGAAGACAAGUCUAUGGCGGUGCUGCUGCUGCAGGGACAGUGGCGAGCCGCCAUCGACAGCCUUCUUGAAGCUGACGCAACACCGCCCCGCUCCGCAUCUGCCGCAGCGAUGGAGCCGAACGGCAGCUCCACUACAUCCUCCCAACGGCCGUCCGUCGCGGAACUCUUCUCCACGGCGUCGGUGCGGCGCCGGCACCGCGUGCCCUGGAGACCCUCAUCUCACCGAGGCUCUGCGAACUCGUCCAGCAGCACGCUUCCGCCGCUGCCGCGGCGGCUUGCCCUUGCCCCCGUGACGCCGGCAGAGCUGCGCUUACUUCGACAUCCGCCGUCGCCCGGGUUGCGCGUGCUGCCGCACUCGAUAGCUUCUAAAGUGCAGCAAGCGGGGUGCCGGGAGCGUCCUGCAGGGGAGGAAGUAGCGGCAGCGCCAUCGCUGCUGUUGGAGGCGGCCGCGGCUGCGGAGGUGGCAGGCGGCCGUGCCACAGGCAUCCCGCCGAUGUGUGUGGUCCGCCUGCGGCGUCGUCUAUGGGUGCUGCAGCACCUCCCGCGCCACCUCCCAGCCUCUCUCGUCCGCUUCCAGGAACCGCGACGGCCAUCGCUGCGCGCCGGCGGCGGCAGUGGUCGCGAGGUGCGGAGUGGGGCAAUCCCUCACGCGCACCUCCUUCGCAGCCACGCGCUGGAGAAGCUGCCGUGGUACACGCUCUGCGUGCUUGGCGAGGUGUUGGAGGCGAGUGGGAACGGCGGCUCAACCGUCGCGACGGUGCUGCGCAACGCACGCACGCACAUGUGCGCUGCGCUCUUCCUCAGCGUGCACGCCGACUACGCGGCCCUGCACGACUACGCACACACCCUCUUUCUCACGCUCGGCAGCAGCAUGGUCGCGCGCGCGGUCGUCGCUCGACAACGACAGCGAGGACGCAGCGACGGCGACGCGGCCGUCACCGUGUUCGAGAGUGCCUUUGCGCAGACGGCCAUCGCUCUGCUUCAGCCACCGCCGCCGGAGGCGUACGCGGUGGCCGGGCUGUCGCCAAGGCCCGCCUCUUCUUCCUGCAAUGCGGCUGACUUUCUCGCGAGAUCGUCGUCAGCGCGGACGCCAAGCUCCAGCACGGACAUCACCGACGUUCACGUGGUGCCACCUCGUGUGUUUCGCCGCCUCUGCGCCGCCGUGCAGGACUGGCGCAACUACCACCUCUCGCUGUACUGUGAAACGCUAAGCCAAAUUGCAGACAGCGACGGUAUGGCGCUACGCGAGCUGGCGCGCGUGCUGGCAGCGCAGCCGCACGGCGAGGAUGCUCUACAAGAGGAAGUGGCUGUGGUGCUGGCGCCAGAGAGCGCGGCCGCCAUCGUCACGGCUCUCUUGCUGCAGCUCCUCGAUCAGCUGUCACGACCGUCAGCGUCGCCCUCGUCAACGACGGCACGUGCCCCGCUAUCCUUUCUGUCCAACGCACCUCGCACCGCCGGCGCACACGCCAGCGCCGGAUGCGACCCGCAGGGUGCAUCGCCCUCCCUUCCCCCACUGCCGCCGGUCCUUUGUUUCAGUGUGCCGCACGACAAGGCGCACGCGGUGGCCAGCUACUUCAAGGGCAUCUUCCAUCCGUCUUUCUUCAGGCGCGUGGUGACGGCGGCGCCGUGCACAAAUGGAGACGAGUGCCAGUUGGGUGACGACGGCGCCGCGGCCACAUCUACCAUCACCACCACGAUCACGACGGGUGCCCGCACGGCAGACGAAGAGAACGGUAAGGCAUCGGCGCUGCCGUCCUUUGUUUUGCCGCCGGCCGAGUGGGAGCGCAACGCCGCCGCGCGCCUUGUCGGUCGCACGCUGCGGCGCCUCGACCGCUACCCGACGCGCACAACGGAAGCCUUCUUCGCCCGCUACGUGCGUGGCGACGAUGUGCACUCGAAGAGGGAGGUUGGUGAGGAGGGGGGCUCCGAAGCAGCCGCAGCCCAGUCGUCUUCGACGACGGUUGCGCCUCCGCUGGCCAUGAGCCUCUUUGUGGUGAAUCUGCAAGCUGCAGUGGAUCACUGGCGUGAGCGCCACCGCAGCCCCAUCCUCGGUGUUCCACCCCCAGCGUCAAGUCACGCACAGCAGCAGGAGCAGGUGUCCCUACCGGCUCAGCCAUCCGUGAGCGCAGCACGAGACGGGCGCACAGCCGACACAAAAUCGGCCGCUACCGCAGCGGCCACGCCCGCGGGCGCGGAGGCCUCGUUGACGGAAACUGGCAAGGAUGGCUUACCUGGCCCCAUCGUUUUGCUUGCGUCCCCACGGAUGCUCCCGCACGGACUGCACGCGGUCUACAAGCCUGCCGGCGUGAACUGCACCCUGCACGCGCACUACCCGUCCCUCGUCUACCCGUUUCUCACUCGCGAGCUGCCCUGGAGGGCGAGAGGGGCGGUAGCGGCGGAUGGCAGCGACAGGAAUCGUGGAGCUGGUGCGUCGUCCUCCCCAGUCCCCUGCGUGCCGGUGCUUCGUCAGCAGGGCCUCGUAAACCGCAUUGACGUGGGCACGAGCGGCGUCGUCCUUGUUGCUCGCACCGCUGCCGCGCUGCACAGCGCGGCCGACGCGAUGAUACGGGAGCAUCACAUGCGCAAGACGUAUCGUGCGCUCGUACAACGGUGGCCUCCCUUCUCGUCCUCGUCCUCGUCCAGCGCGUCCACAGUGCCGUGCGGCGAUGACAGCGCAGCAACGGCGCCGCUCUUUAGCGUGUCGCCCUUCUUGUCCCCGAUGGCGAGCGCCGUUGUGUGCGCACCGGUGUACGCGGCUGGCGCCACGGCGUCCUCGAUCCGCCGGCGUUCAGCACUGCCGCUGAGUCAUGGUCGCCAACUUCAGCCGCCCGGGCAACCAAGUGCCGAUGCGCUCGCAGCCUCUCGCGCCAGCUCGACUCUGUCGUGGUCAUCGAGCGUACACGUCUCUCCCUCCUCCUUAGAGAACGUGCAUCAGCAGUACGCCACCCUGCACGCCGCUCUACAGGACCAGCGGAAUGCCAUCACGCGCUACCGCGUACUCGAGUACUUCGCGUCUGCCGGAGUCGCCUACGUGCAGGUGGAGCUGUGCAGCGGGCGGCGGCAUCAGAUACGGCAGCAUUUUGCGCAGCUCGGCUUCCCUCUUGUUGGUGAUGCUCGCUACCACGCCGGGGUAGUCGCAGGCCACGCGGGAACGACGUUCGGGAUGCAGCGAGCUGCGCUCCACGCCUACACGGUUGACAUCCUCGCCACCACAGACAGCGACGGCCUGGCGAGCGGCGAGGAGGUGCCCGACCGCGUGGUGGUGCAGGCGGCGCUGCCAGCCGACAUGCAUCGCGCUCUGCUUGCACUUCGGCAAGCGGAACAAGCCAAGUCGGGUCAGCAGCAGCAGCAGCGGCAACCACAGCAACCUCGUGGCUGACGUGAGCCUCCCACCGCAGGCGAAGGGGAGACACGAAAUGGCGUGGCGACGUCUCUUUCCGUCUCUCUCUCUCUCGCUCGCUCCAGCUCAUGCUGGCCGCUUGACGCUCAUCCUCACAUGCAACACGCGCACGCGCAUAACCACAUGGACGCACUUGCACGUAUGCAUACACCUAAGCUACUUCCUCUUCCUGCUGUCGCUUGGCCUCUUCGAGGAGUCAUCGUCUGCGCGCCGAGAGGCAAGGAUGUCCGUGUCUGUGUGGAGGAGAGAAGGAGCACACGUGACGGCAGAACUUGUGCACUCGCGCAUCUCCGCAGUGGCGUCAUCAUGGCCCGCCCGCCUGCUUACUCCAUUCCUCGCCUGUCCCUCUCUGUCUUCCGCUCAUCGCCACCACUGCAUCUUUUCCUAUCCUCCCUUGGUCCUUCUGCCACCGCCUCCGCAUCUGCCACUCGCCGCUCCCCUCGUCCGUGAUGGCACCCCGGUGACACGCACCAG
rnacentral:misc_RNA from 1 species